rnacentral:rRNA from 1 species
GUCCACGCCGUAAACGAUGAUAACUAGCUGUCCGGGCACUUGGUGUUUGGGUGGCGCAGCUAACGCAUUAAGUUAUCCGCCUGGGGAGUACGGUCGCAAAGAUUAAAAACUCAAAAGGAAUUGACGGGGGCCUGCACAAGCGGUGGAGCAUGUGGUUUAAUUCGAAGCAACGCGCAGAACCUUACCAGCGUUUGACAUCCCGCGCUAACCCAAGAGAUUGGGUGUUCCCUUCGGGGACGCGGUGACAGGUGCUGCAUGGCUGUCGU